rnacentral:lncRNA from 1 species
CUCGACGGCCAGGCAUUUAGUCGAACAAGCAAACUUACAAGCCAAAUCACAGUUGCAGCGGGCAAGCAGUUGAAGCUGUGUGGUGGCUGGAGCAGUUGGGGCAGUCUGUGCAGAGAGCGUACUGGGCGAGAGUGAGGCAUUGGCAGGGCAUGAGGGCAUACCUUCUAUUUUAUCGCUCGAGCCUAAGAUUAGACGUAGAAAUCGAUGGAGUUAAAACCAAAAGUUUCAAUGGUUAGAUCCAUGGAUAGAGCAUUCUCACAUCGUUAACUGUGACAUGGCUUCGCUGCGUUCAACACGCACAUUCAAUUGGAGCGCUUUCGAGGCAUUCAAAUGAUUUACACCAAAAUCUAUUUGCGAGGCAGCUCAGCUCUGGUCUGCUGCACUCCGCUCAGCUGAUGGAACUGUAUUCAGUAGCCGGGUUAUGCAUAUGUACAUCGUCUGUGGGCUUAUUUGUCCGACUGGAAUGUGAGCUUGGCUAAUCAGUGGCAUAAUUCAUAUUAAUUUAUAUGAGAGUCAAGUGCCAAUUUGCAUUGGCGCAUGGCAUUUGUCGCCGCUUUUGUUUCUAUUGCCAUUGCCAUUGCCAUUGCCAUUGCCAUUGCUAUUGCCCAGCAGAGAAAGGAAGGCUGAGCAGAUCAGAACAGAGAAAGACAAAGAAAGCUUAUAGAAAGUUGAGUGUUGAAAGAAACUGUAACAAGUUCAGCCACUCAACCUCUGUAGCAGCUCCAGAUAUGUGCAGCACAGGGUAAGGUCAGAGGCAGUGGCAGUCGCUGAGACUUGGUAUGGGACUGGUCACAAGGCAACAACAAGCGUUUCGUUUCAUGGUUGGCUCACCACUCUCCGAGGCGAGGCGAGGCGAGGCGAGGCGAGGCGAGUUCUUCGAGCUCGAGUUUAUUUUGUUUCUUCUUAACGAGGCGCUGCCAAGUCACUGUCAAAAUAUUGAAAUAAAGGAAUUUUCAAUUUUAAUUUCUUUAACGCUCAACGUUCAACGCAAACGAAAAACAUGAAAGGGACUGGACUGGCAGAAGCAGAGACAGAGACAGAGGCAGAGUGAAAGAAAGGCUUGGUUGAGUGGUGGGAGUAGGGAAUAGGGGGUACGGGGUACGGGGAAAGGGGAAAGUACCCGAAACGCCAUCGUUCCAAGGAAGUGACUCUGUUCUUAUGUUAAUGAUUGUUAUUCUAAGCGAUAAAUGAGCGUGGGUAAAUACAAAGCGAAGCGAAGCGAAGCUGGGCUGGGUCUGGUCGGAGCGGGGAGAGUGGGCAUAAGAGACCUUUUUAGGAAUUGACACAUGCAACAAAUUACAAAUUGUAUUUCUUUACACUGGACAAGUGUCACCAGAUCCUUCUAUGCUUUGCAUAACUUAAGAUCCAUACAUCGCUACUCCAACUUGGUGAAUUGUCCCGAUCUCGACUGACUAUGUAAUUGGUAUACAUAUAUUGCCAGAGGGUCAAUAGCUCAAUCUGCUCCAAUCUUAUGUACAAGGGAAAGAUCACUUUCAUUUUCCCGAAAUGGAUUACUUAUGCGAGUCAUUCUGACGUCCUUGAUUCGAUAUCAUCUAUAAGUUUGGAGCAGUCAACUCAAUAGAACCGCUUCUUUCCAGUAAGCAAAAUAAGUUUGUUUUUUCGCAGUCUUGCUUAAAGAGGCAACAAACGUUUAAGCUGCAGCUUUCUUGGCCUUCUCAUUUAUGCAAAUUUCACUCAAUAUGCAAAACAUAAUCAUUUUGUUAUAAGCCACAAAGAACACAAAGCACACUGCAACCGCAGCAACAACUGGAAAGAACAGAUCCGAACACGCCCUCAGCCUGUAGGGGGAGCCGGAGCCCAGGUUCGCUUCCAGCAGGGUUCCUCCUGAGCCUGAGCCUGAGCCUGAGCCUGAGACUGUGCCUGAGCAGAGCAAUAAAGCAGCCAGCUCUAAAUAACUCAAACUAUCACGAUGCCACAGAACGGAACGGGGAAAAACAGAGCAAAACGAGACAGGAGGCAGCAGGAGUAAGCAGGAGGUGGCACCACGAGGUAGCAGUGGUCAGGGAGGCAGGGAGGCAGGGAGGCAGGGAGACAGAGUCAGGCACACACUCAAGGCGGAGGACGAUCAAUCGUUUACAAAUUUAAAUAAUAUAUAUGUUUGGCAGUCGGCGGGCCGCGGAAGAGCGCGAAUUGCAAAACUGUAACAGUCGAGAUGUCGGAGUUGAAGUAGGUGGAGCAGCCACAGCAGCCGCAGCAGCAGGAGCUUGGGCGGAGGCAGAGCACAAGCCAGAUCAGAGAGUCGUGGCAAGUUCAGUGAGUUGAACGCAUAUCGGGCGCAUGCCCAGCGGUGAUUUGUGCUUAAAACGGUGUAGAGUUUUUUUUUUAGCCACAGCCGCAGCCAGUUGCAGAGUCGGUGCGAAGGCAGAGUCGGGGCAUUGUAUCCACAAAGGAGCCCGAUCCCAGAGCUGCAAAACAGGACUGAGCUGGAAAUGGCAGAGCAGUCAGCAGACAGCAGGCAACAGAGAGCACAGAGCAGACAGCUAGGCUACUUAUUAAGCGAUCUAGUGAUCGCCGAUCACUGCCCAGAACGCUCUUUACAGGUUAAAGAACUUUUUUGGACCACUCGUAUCCACUCCUGCUCCCUCUUCCCCCUGCCCAGUUCAAGCCUAGGCGAGACAAGAACUCAAUUUCCAUGAAAAUAAUACUUGGAGUUUUAUUUAUGCGGCAGUCGAUCAACGCGGAAUCAUUGAAGCAAAUUAAUGAAGCCGAUCCGAGUGACAAUCCCCCAGGAAUCGGCUCUGAUGAGUCAGAUCCAUCCAGCGAAAAGCGGAUCAUCAUGAUCCCCCACAGCGAACAAACGGAAAUGGGCUUGAUGAAGGUGUGACAGCUGCGCUUUAUUUGGGUUCGGCUUCGGCUUGGCCGAGGUCUGUGCGAUUAGCUAGGAGUCUCCCUCCCCAUCAGACCCACGUCCAGCUGAUCAGCUUAUACUGAUUGAUAAUGGAGUUCAAUUAAUUGUAAAUUGUAAAUUGUAAAUUGUAAAUUGUAAUUUCCAGGAGCUGCCUGGAAGCCCGAUUCAAAUGCAACUGUCAGCGGAGCUGUCAGCUUUCUAAGCUCCGAUGUUCCCCACUGAACUAACUCGAUAAGCUCACUCGAGCAUUGAACAGUAGAAUAAUAGCUCAAUAUGAAGCAAGCCCUUUCCUCUGUGUUGUGGCUGGGGUGGGGUGAGUCACGAUGCGGUCCCAUCCCAGACUGAUCCCAACAGAUCCCAGACAACCGCAAAGAUAAUCUCAAAUGUGGUCGCAUUUUGUCGCCAUCUUUCUGCGGCUGUUUGUUAAUGAAAUACAAAAAUGUUGUGCAUUUUAUUUGAUUGCUUUGCCACGAAAGCAAAUCCCAAUUGUGUGGGGGGCUCACUCUCAAUCCAGGUACAUAUGUACGUACAUACAUAAGUGUGUAUGUAGGUGCGGAAGGUGUGGCUCCGUUGUGGUUAC